rnacentral:sRNA from 1 species
GCUGGGUAUGGUGGUGCAUGCCUGUAAUCCCAGCACCUCUGGAGGCCAAGGCAGGAGGAUCACAAGUUCCAAGCCAGCCUCAGCAACAACUAGGUGCUAAGCAACUCAGUGAGACCCUGUCUCUA